rnacentral:tRNA from 1 species
CAAAAUGUAGCUUAAUUAAAGCUUCUCGCUUACACCGAGGCAAUGUCCGUUAAACCCGAAUCAUUUUG